UCCGUCCCAAAAUUCUUGUCUUAGAUUUGUCUAGAUACGGAUGUAUCAAGUCACAUUUUAGUAUUAGAUACAUCUGUAUCUAGAAAAAUCUAAGACAAGAAAUUUGGGACAGA
rnacentral:pre_miRNA from 1 species